AUCCCAUGGUGUAGACACAUAAGGAUGUACUCCUGAAGCCUCUUCCAAGCUUCAGAAAUUGACUCAUUAGAUGUCUGCUGGAAGCUUGAUAUCUUUCCACGAAGGGC